CCCUGCUUGGGACUGUGAACUGCUUUCAUUCUGGGUGCUUCAGAGGCAGAUCUGAAACAUGAGUCUUCAGUAUGAAGUUACUCAUCGUUGAUUAUGCUGCCCUGCAUGCUGCAAAAGGAAAACAAGAUUACAUCACAGCCCUGGCAACACCAUGGAUUCGGUGAUCUGUGUGGGCGAGAAUCUUGGGAACCACAUGGCAGGCUGUGACAGACCUGGAUCUAUGUUGUUGAUCAACCACUGAAGUGAUGGCAGGGCAGUGGUCCUCAUCUCCUGCACCAAGGUCUGAAGAUAGCUUCUGAAAUUCUGCAAGGCUGUUUUGAUUGCCUUAGAAAAGGUCCUUCCCAAACUCCUGG